GCAAAUAUGUUAUUUUCGCAAAUGCUAGUGGAAAGCGGUCAGGAAACCGUGCUUUAAACUCCAGCACCUAUUUGCUUGCUAUUUCCAAAGAACCAAUACAAGGUAUAAAAUUGCAUUUUUGUCUUCAUUCUCGGUGGCUACAAAAGCCUUUGUAAAGGGAAAUAGAAGUAUUCACUUUUUGAAUCUUUUUUACCUUGUCCCAGCGUGUUGAACUUAAUACUUCUGGAAUUCCUUUAAUGGUUCCAAUUGGUUAUUGGGGCCGACUGGUUACAGGAUAUAGUGGAUUUUUCUUUUCCUUUCUGUUAAAGAGAUGGUGGAUUUUUGAGCGUGUACCAAUGCUAGUGCUGAAUGGAACACGAAAUUAACUACUCAUUUACAAUCAGACGCCAGCCCAGCUUUUGCAUACUCUGGCCCAUAACACUAAAGUGACCGCAUAAUUACGGGGUUAAUGGAAUACCCGUCUGGUUAGAUUGGUUACGAGGCGUAGCAAUUUCCUGACUUUUAAAAAACUUUAUUAUUGAAGUCUGAAGAUAUCAGCAAAAAAAUGGCCUUGUCCUACAUUUUCUUUUUUAUUUUCAGGUUGUAUUGCCAAUCAGAUUCUCCACUUCUGGACUUGGUGGAUGUAAGGAAACUGAGCAGUUUGACGUUGUUAGUUGCUUGUGAAAGAUUACAACCUUCGUAUGAUGGAAAGUCGGAAACUGCACGAGGAAUAUAAUAUGAAGCCUGAUCUAGAGAUCUCCUAUCAUCUUUUGACCUUUCUGUACUUGGAAGGAUUCUAGACGGAAAUGAUUCAUUGACGGGUUCCAGAAGAUGGCGACUAUGUGAAAACAUCAUCACCAACUUUUUGAAGAUUGGCGUAACAUUCAUUUUAUGAAAUUAAUCAGGGAUCCAUUUGAGAUUGAGAGAGGAAAAAAAGGUGUUUCUGGAAGAAAAGAGAUUCUACUUCCUUGUGGCAGUGGCUAGCAAUGAAGGCUCAUUCAAUCGGAUGGAUAUAUAUGUUUUCUUUUUAUAUUGUGUUAAGAAGCACACAAGCUUGUCAAAUGAGUUAAGAACGUCCACUUCUACUAAAGAAGGAAACAGAAAAAAAGAUAGAAGUACAAAUAAAGAAAGAGGAAAGAAUGUUAGAAAAGCAUGGUGAAAAUCUUAAACAAAUAUGAUUCACUUCGAGGAAGCUUUUUUAUGCGCCUUUACUCCAUCCCUUUUCUGAUGAAAGCAAGAAAAUUGUAAGCUCAGCACUCAGCCGCC
rnacentral:lncRNA from 1 species